rnacentral:rRNA from 1 species
GAUGAACGCUGGCGGCGUGCCUAAUACAUGCAAGUCGAACGCUGGAGAUCUAGCUUGCUAGAUCGAAGGAGUGGCGAACGGGUGAGUAAUACAUAAGCAACCUACCCACGAAGACUGGGAUAAUCUCUGGAAACGGGGACUAAUACCGGAUAGGUAAUCGGAAGGCAUCUUCUGGUUAUUAAAGGUUAAAAACACUGGUGGAUGGGCUUAUGGCGCAUUAGUUAGUUGGUGAGGUAACGGCCCACCAAGACGAUGAUGCGUAGCCGGCCUGAGAGGGUGAACGGCCACAUUGGGACUGAGACACGGCCCAGACUCCUACGGGAGGCAGCAGUAGGGAAUUUUCGGCAAUGGGGGCAACCCUGACCGAGCAACGCCGCGUGAGUGAAGACGGCCUUCGGGUUGUAAAGCUCUGUUGCAAGGGAAGAACGGUAGAUAGAGAAUAUCUAAGUGACGGUACCUUACCAGAAAGCCACGGCUAACUACGUG